UACGUAGGGGGCAAGCGUUGUCCGGAUUUAUUGGGCGUAAAGAGCGUGUAGGCGGUCAGGUAGGUCCGUUGUGAAAACUCGAGGCUCAACCUCGAGACGCCGAUGGAAACCAUCUGACUAGAGUCCGGAAGAGGAGAGUGGAAUUCCUGGUGUAGCGGUGAAAUGCGCAGAUAUCAGGAGGAACACCGAUGGCGAAGGCAGGUCUCUGGGCCAUAACUGACGCUGAGAAGCGAAAGCAUGGGGAGCGAACAGG
rnacentral:rRNA from 1 species